GUCAGAGCAGAGCGUGAGGCUGGGCUGGCCUUCAGUCCUGCUGACCUGGGCGUUGCAACGUGCACAGCGUCCACUUGACCCUCUUCUGCAGGACAGGCAGCACAGCGCGAUGCCGACGGCAGCCACAAGGCCCUUCUCUGGGGGAGGCCAUGAGGCUCACAGGAGCCAGAGGACAUCACAGGGCACGUUGCCAGUGACGAACGCCUCGAAUGUUAGCUACUGUCCCUGUCAACAUCAUCACAGCUGUGGUGAAGUCUAUACACCCUGAAGUAGGAAACCUGCAAUUCACGUCUGAAUUCUUUUAGGAUACAAACCUGUCUUCUUGAUCUUUGCAAUUUCAUGGGGCUCAGUAAGUGUUCAUAGGGGCAACACACUUCCUCUCACUGCCCAGCUGUGCAUGCUUCAAUCUCAUACCACACACAUACACCACACACACCCCACACACACCCCACACACACCCCACACACACCCCACACACACCACACACACCACACACACACCCCACACACACCACACACACACCACACACACCACACACCCCACACACACACCCCCCACACACACCCCACACACACACCACACACACCACACACACACCCCACACCCCCCCUACACACACCCCCCCCAACACACACCCCCCCCACCCCCCCCCACACACACCACACACCCCACACACCCCCCCCACACACACCCCCCCCACACACACCACACACCCCACACACACCCCAUACACAUCCCACAUACACACCACACUCACACCACACACCCCACACACCCCACACACACCCCCCACGCACACACCACACAUCCCACACACACCCCAAACACACACCACACACACCACACACCCCACACACACCCCAUACACACACCCCACACAUACACCCCACACACACCCCACACAUACAACACACACACACACCACACAUACCCCACACACACCCCACACACACCCCACACACACCCCACACACACCCCACACACCCCCCACACACCCCCCACACACACCCCACACACACCCCACACACCCCCCACACACACCCCACACACACCCCACACACCCCACACACACCCCACACACACCCCACACACACCCCACACACCCCCCACACACACCCCACACACACCCCACACACACCCCACACACCCCCCACACACACCCCACACACACCCCACACACACCCCACACACACCCCACACACCCCACACACACCCCACACACCCCACACACACCCCACACACACCCCACACACACCCCACACACACCCCACACACACCCCACACACCCCACACACACCACACACACCCCACACACACCCCACACACACCCCACACACACCCCACACACACCCCACACACACCCCACACACACCCCCACACACCCCACACACACCCCACACACACCCCACACACACCCCACACACACCCCACACACACCCCAC
rnacentral:lncRNA from 1 species